GCCCUUAUUAGCUAUGCUUCUCUGUUGUGCAGAGACAACAGGCUGCCUCGCUAAACGAUGCACACCUGUAACUCACGUGACCCUGAUUAUUAUUGAAACGAGAACGAGGACGUCGUGCCUUUAUAAGACUGCGUUAAUGUUUCCGUGGAGUUAACCGUUCCGUUGUUGUUUAUUGAUUGUUAAACAUGGCGUCAUUUGCAAAGGUGGUUGUGUGUGUCCUCGUUGCUUGUGUCUGUAAUGCAUUCUGUCUUCCGAAGAGAGAUGUGAACUUUAAGGCCUCUGCAGUUGACCGCCAAAGUGAUGAUGUGGUUGUCGCCACAACACCCGUUCCCCACAACCAGACCACAUCUGCCCAUACUGAAGCUGGUGGUGGUGCAAGUGAAGAUGCUGUGGCUACUACCCCAGCACCUAAUCCACACAACCAGACAACUUCUGCACAAACUGAAGUUACUGAUGGAGCCAGUGAAGAUGCUGUGGACCGCCAAAGUGAUGUGGUUGUCGUCACAACACCCGUUCCCCACAACCAGACCACAUCUGCCUAUACUGAAGCUGGUGAUGGAGCAAGUGAAGAUGCUGUGGCUACCACCCCAACACCAAAUCCCCCAACUACAUCUGACCACACUGCAGCUACCGAUGAUGCAAGUGAGGGUGCUGUGGCUGCCACCCAAACUCCUGAAGUCCAGACUAAAUCUGCCCAAACUGGAACUACUGUAUCCCAUACGACUGAAGUCUGAUUCGACUGCUCCUCUGGUCACAAUGACCUGAGUCACUGUCUGGACUUUUUGCCUCUACAUGUUGACUGCAAUAAAGGACAGAUUUGUUUUUUGAAUCA
rnacentral:lncRNA from 1 species